UCUUCAUUUCCCACACUCUCUCGCCUCUCUGACCGGUGAGAGAGUGUGUGAAAUGAAGAGA
rnacentral:pre_miRNA from 1 species